GGGCCUAUAGCUCCUAUGCUGGGCGGUUAGAGCGCACGCCUGAUAAGCGUGAGGGGGUCGGUUUUUCCCGUCCAUUUAGUCCACCA
rnacentral:tRNA from 1 species